rnacentral:lncRNA from 1 species
AAAAACCCCACAAAGAAUUGUUAUACCCUCUUCAUCAAUUUACUGCUUUAGAAUUAUGAAAGACCUUUUUAUCAUUUUGAUCUGAAAUCUACUUUUUCUAAUAUGAAUACAGCUACUCCAGGUUUCUUUUGAUUAGUGUGAACAUGGUGUAUCUUUUCCUAUACUUUCUCAGAGUAGUCUGUUCUCAGGCCAAGCUUGCUUCCUCCUCUGCCAUAAGGUGAGCCACCUCUACCUGCCUGGAGAUCAACCUGCGGUCAUCCAGUUCCGCCAGUGCCUGGCUGGAGCUAUAAGUUGGUGCUGUUCGCCAGGGUUGGUGUCUGCAGAGGGCCAGGGGAAUUCCAAGCGAGGGAAGCAAGGAGAGCUUCUUGGACUCCUCAAGUUCUACCAGGAGGCAGUGCUAUGGUGUGCCCAACCCUCCCAGAGGCCUAAGUGGCCGCCCUCUUAGGAAUGCACAAAGCAUCUGCUAUUUAGGACUUGGUUACAGAGCACCAUCAGCUUCCCCAAGGUAAGCCAGCAUUGGCUUCCAGGCCAUUUAAUUUACAUCUUAAUUUUGCUCAU